rnacentral:rRNA from 1 species
AACGACUCUCGACAACGGAUAUCUCGGCUCUCGCAUCGAUGAAGAACGUAGCGAAAUGCGAUACUUGGUGUGAAUUGCAGAAUCCCGUGAACCAUCGAGUCUUUGAACGCAAGUUGCGCCCGAAGCCAUUAGGCUGAGGGCACGUCUGCCUGGGUGUCAC